CAGCAGCCGCGGGAAUACGUAGGGUGCGAGCGUUAAUCGGAAUUACUGGGCGUAAAGCGUGCGCAGGCGGUUUUGUAAGACAGGCGUGAAAUCCCCGGGCUCAACCUGGGAAUGGCGCUUGUGACUGCAAAGCUAGAGUGCGGCAGAGGGGGAUGGAAUUCCGCGUGUAGCAGUGAAAUGCGUAGAUAUGCGGAGGAACACCGAUGGCGAAGGCAAUCCCCUGGGCCUGCACUGACGCUCAUGCACGAAAGCGUGGGGAGCAAACAGGAUUAGAGACCCCAGUAGUCCCUGUCUCUUAUAC
rnacentral:rRNA from 1 species